rnacentral:rRNA from 1 species
UACGGAGGGUGCAAGCGUUAUCCGGAUUCACUGGGUUUAAAGGGUGCGUAGGAGGGCAGGUAAGUCAGUGGUGAAAUCUCCGGGCUUAACUCGGAAACUGCCGUUGAUACUAUCUGUCUUGAAUACCGUGGAGGUGAGCGGAAUAUGUCAUGUAGCGGUGAAAUGCUUAGAUAUGACAUAGAACACCAAUUGCGAAGGCAGUUCACUACACGAAUAUUGACUCUGAGGCACGAAAGCGUGGGGAUCAAACAGG